rnacentral:tRNA from 1 species
GUGUGGCCGANAGUAGGCGGCGGGUUGUAGCCCCGCCCACAGAGGUAAGCCUUUCACUAUCA